rnacentral:rRNA from 1 species
UAAAAACCCCGACUUCGGAAGGGGUGUAUUUAUUAGAUACAAAACCAAUGCCCUUCGGGGCUCUUUGGUGAUUCAUGAUAACUAUACGAAUCGCACGGCCUUGCGCCGGCGAUGGUUCAUUCAAAUUUCUUCCCUAUCAACUUUCGAUGUUUGGGUAUUGGCCAAACAUGGUUGCAACGGGUAACGGAGGGUUAGGGCUCGACCCCGGAGAAGGAGCCUGAGAAACGGCUACUACAUCCAAGGAAGGCAGCAGGCGCGCAAAUUACCCAAUCCCGACUCGGGGAGGUAGUGACUAUAAAUACUGAUACAGGGCCCUUUCGGGCCUUGUAAUUGGAAUGAGUACAAUUUAAAUCCCUUAACGAGGAACAAUUGGAGGGCAAGUCUGGUGCCAGCAGCCGCGGUAAUUCCAGCUCCAAUAGCGUAUAUUAAAGUUGUUGUGGUUAAAAAGCUCGUAGUUGAACCUUGGGCCUGGCUGGCCGGUCCGCCUCACCGCGUGCACUGGUCCGGCCGGGCCUUUCCCUCUGUGGAACCCCAUACCCUUCACUGGGCGUGGCGGGGAAACAGGACAUUUACUUU